GAUGAACGCUGGCGGCGUGCUUAACACAUGCAAGUCGAACGGUGAAAGAGAGCUUGCUCUCUGGAUCAGUGGCGAACGGGUGAGUAACACGUGAGCAAUCUGCCCCUGACUCUGGGAUAAGCGCUGGAAACGGCGUCUAAUACCGGAUACGAGCUGCGAAGGCAUCUUCAGCAGCUGGAAAGAACUUCGGUCAGGGAUGAGCUCGCGGCCUAUCAGCUAGUUGGUGAGGUAACGGCUCACCAAGGCGUCGACGGGUAGCCGGCCUGAGAGGGUGACCGGCCACACUGGGACUGAGACACGGCCCAGACUCCUACGGGAGGCAGCAGUGGGGAAUAUUGCACAAUGGGCGAAAGCCUGAGGCAGCAACGCCGCGUGAGGGACGACGGCCUUCGGGUUGUAAACCUCUUUUAGCAGGGAAGAAGCGAAAGUGACGGUACCUGCAGAAAAAGCACCGGCUAACUACGUG
rnacentral:rRNA from 1 species